rnacentral:rRNA from 1 species
GAUGAACGCUGGCGGCGUGCCUAAUACAUGCAAGUCGAGCGAACAGAUGAGGAGCUUGCUCCUCUGACGUUAGCGGCGGACGGGUGAGUAACACGUGGAUAACCUACCUAUAAGACUGGGAUAACUUCGGGAAACCGGAGCUAAUACCGGAUAAUAUAUUGAACCGCAUGGUUCAAUAGUGAAAGACGGUUUUGCUGUCACUUAUAGAUUGAUCCGCGCCGCAUUAGCUAGUUGGUAAGGUAACUGCUUACCAAGGCAACGUUGCGUAGCCGACCUGAGAGGGUGAUCGGCCACACUGGAACUGAGACACGGUCCAGACUCCUACGGGAGGCAGCAGUAGGGAAUCUGCCGCAAUGGGCGAAAGCCUGACGGAGCAACGCCGCGUGAGUGAUGAAGGUCUUCGGAUCGUAAAACUCUGUUAUUAGGGAAGAACAAAUGUGUAAGUAACUAUGCACGUCUUGACGGUACCUAAUCAGAAAGCCACGGCUAACUACGUG